GACGAACGCUGGCGGCGUGCUUAACACAUGCAAGUCACGGGGGUCCCGCAAGGGAUAACCGGCGAACGGGUGCGUAACACGUGACCAACCUGCCCCUGUGUGGGGGAUAGCCAUGCUAACGCGUGGGUAAUACCGCAUACGGUCCCUUGGGGGAGUCCCUGGGGGAAGAAAGCUCUGGCGCACGGGGAGGGGUCGCGGCCUAUCAGCUAGUUGGCGAGGUAAUGGCUCACCAAGGCGACGACGGGUAGCNGGUCUGAGAGGAUGGCCAGCCACAUUGGGACUGAGAGACGGCCCAGACU
rnacentral:rRNA from 1 species